rnacentral:lncRNA from 1 species
ACAAAAAAAAAUCCAUCAGGGCUGAGAAGAAAGAGACCGAAAGGGGACGCAAGAUCCCAGGAGAGGAGAUGGAAAGUUCCCGGGACAAGCCAGGGCUUCGACCGAGGACAGGAUCCCGGGGAGCUGCACAGUGAAUAUACACCUGCCUGAACCAAGAUUAGAAUUCACCUUCACUGGGAAGGAGCAGAAGGUAUCCAUCAACCCUUCUUGAAUUUCCAAAGAAAAGGAGCCUAAAUCUGACUCCCAGGAAACACCUUCAACUCGCGCCCUUCCUCAGCUGUACCCACAACACCCAAGGCCCCACAAGGUCCACACCUAAACCUCUCUGUAAUGAAACUCAGGCUGUAAUCUGGAGGGCCUCUGGACCCCUAGCGGGUGGGGGAGCCCCCUCCUUGGGCGCAGUGGAGCUUAGUGAUGGA